AUUGAACGCUGGCGGCAUGCCUUACACAUGCAAGUCGAACGGCAGCACGGGUGCUUGCACCUGGUGGCGAGUGGCGAACGGGUGAGUAAUACAUCGGAACAUGUCCUGUAGUGGGGGAUAGCCCUCCGAAAGCCGGAUUAAUACCGCAUACGAUCUACGGAUGAAAGCGGGGGACCUUCGGGCCUCGCGCUUUGGGGUGGGCCGGUGGCUGAUUUGCUCGUUGGUGGGGUAGAGGCUGACCAAGGCGACGAAGGGUAGCUGGUGUGAGAGGGCGACAGGCGACAUGGGGAAUGAGGUACGGGCCAGACGCGGAAGGGAGGCAGCGGUGGGGAAUAUGGCACAAGGGGCGGAAGGCUGAGGCAGCAACGCCGGGUGCGGGAUGAGGGCCGUCGGGUUGUAAACCGCGGUCGCCUGUGACGAAGCGGGAGUGACGGUAAUGGGUAAAGAAGCACCGGCUAACUACGUG
rnacentral:rRNA from 1 species